CCUACGGGAGACAGCAGUGAGGAAUAUUGGUCAAUGGUCGGGAGACUGAACCAGCCAAGCCGCGUGAGGGAGGAAGGUACAGAGUAUCGUAAACCUCUUUUGUCAGGGAACAAAGGCGGGGACGUGUCCCCGGAUGAGUGUACCUGAAGAAAAAGCAUCGGCUAACUCCGUGCCAGCAGCCGCGGUAAUACGGAGGAUGCGAGCGUUAUCCGGAUUUAUGGGGUUUAAAGGGUGCGCAGGCGGUCUGUUAAGUCAGCGGUCAAAGCCCGGGGCUCAACCCCGGCCCGCCGUUGAAACUGGCAGUCUCGAGUUGGAGAGAAGUAUGCGGAAUGCGCGGUGUAGCGGUGAAAUGCAUAGAUAUCGCGCAGAACUCCGAUUGCGAAGGCAGCAUGCCGGCUCCACACUGACGCUGAGGCACGAAAGCGUGGGUAUCGAACAGGAUUAGAUACCCGUGUAGUC
rnacentral:rRNA from 1 species